rnacentral:rRNA from 1 species
GAUGAACGCUGGCGGCGUGCUUAACACAUGCAAGUCGAACGGUGAAGGCGGAGCUUGCUCUGCUGGAUCAGUGGCGAACGGGUGAGUAACACGUGAGCAAUCUGCCCCUGACUCUGGGAUAAGCGCUGGAAACGGCGUCUAAUACUGGAUACGAGCUGCGAAGGCAUCUUCAGCAGCUGGAAAGAACUUCGGUCAGGGAUGAGCUCGCGGCCUAUCAGCUUGUUGGUGAGGUAACGGCUCACCAAGGCGUCGACGGGUAGCCGGCCUGAGAGGGUGACCGGCCACACUGGGACUGAGACACGGCCCAGACUCCUACGGGAGGCAGCAGUGGGGAAUAUUGCACAAUGGGUGAAAGCCUGAUGCAGCAACGCCGCGUGAGGGACGACGGCCUUCGGGUUGUAAACCUCUUUUAGCAGGGAAGAAGCGAAAGUGACGGUACCUGCAGAAAAAGCGCCGGCUAACUACGUG